rnacentral:misc_RNA from 1 species
CUUCCGAUCAAAUCCAUGGAUGGAUCGGUGAAAACAGAAUAUUGAAAAAAGGAGUAUUUUCUAAUGCCUUUGAUCCCACUCGAGUCACUCAACUCUCUUGGCAUCCCAGGGCUUUCAUUUACAAGGGGUUUUUAUCAAACGAGGAGUGUGAUCAUCUUAUUAAUUUGGCUAGGGAUAAGCUUGAGAAAUCAAUGGUGGCUGAUAAUGAAUCUGGGAAGAGUAUGGAGAGUGAAGUAAGGACAAGCUCUGGCAUGUUUCUUAGCAAAGCUCAGGAUAAAAUUGUUGCUGAUAUUGAGGCUAGGAUUGCUGCAUGUACUUUCCUUCCGGAGGAAAAUGGAGAAUCCAUCCAAAUACUGCACUAUGAGCAUGGUCAGAAGUACGAACCCCAUUUUGAUUAUUUUCAUGACAAGGCUAAUCAAGAGCUGGGUGGCCACCGGGUUGCAACUGUUCUGAUGUAUUUGUCAAAUGUUGAGAGGGGUGGGGAAACAGUGUU